GUACACAAUGUGCUGAGAGAUAAAAGUUCAGUUGAACUGCGGCUUCCUGGCGCCAGAGCAAAACAUUUCUGCUACUAAGCCAGCAAGCCCAGCCGGGCGUGUAGAAGAUAGGCAAGUUUCGUCUCUUUUUAGGUCUGACGGAAGCUGGAGCCCAUCCACAUCUGGAGGGACACAGGCUCCCCAUCUCCAAACAUGGGCUCGGUGUUGGAUGCGGCACGAGAAGGUAACACCAAUGUCAGAGAUCUGUGGCGUGAACUCCAGGACACUCUCUGCAUAGAAGAGGUAAUUGGGCCCACGCUUGCCAGGGGGCAAGUCAUCUUUCAGAGUCUCACUGCCUCGCAGCCACUUCACAGAGACACCAUCAGGGUAAAAGUCGGAUGCUGCACAUGUCAAGUUGCUUGGUUUGCCCAGCGGCACUUCUGUGGAGCCGAGUGUUAGGCGUGGGGGAGCUGGAAGGAGAGAGGAGAGUUAGGAGAGCAUCUCCUUGGGCAUCUUAAAGGGUGCUGGGAACUGUAGCUCUGUGAGCAGCAAGCUGCAGUUCCCAGGAUUCUUCACAGGAAGAGGCAACUCUCAGUACAAGGAAGCUGGUGCAGAAGUCAUGAUUAAAAGCAUGCACUGGGAAUUUGCAGUUCAAAUCUCACCUUCCCCAUGAACUCAUUAGGUGGCCUUUAAGUUAGUCACUAUCCUCUUAGCCCCAAGUCCUGCCUGGCCUGCCCCCAAAUGCAGUAAGAGCUGCAGUCCUAUAUCUCCACUAUGCCAUCCCUCAAGGUCUGGGCAAACUUGCCCAGGGGAGCUUGGACUAUUGCAACACACUCUACAUGGGGCUACCUUUGAAGAUGACCUGGAAAUUACAACUAAUCCAGAAUGCAGCAGGCAGACUGGUGACUGGGAGCUUCCACCGAGACUACAUAACACAGGUCUUGAAAUACCUACGUUGGCUCCCAGUACGUUUCCAAGCACAUUUCAAAGUGUUGGUGUGACCUUUAAAGCCCUAAACAGCCUCGGCCCAGUAUACCUGAAGGAGCGUCUCCAUCCCCAUCAUUCUCCCCAGACACUGAGGUCCAGCGCUGAAGGCCUUCUGGUGGUUCACUCCCUGCGAGAAGUGAGGGAACUAGGGAACCAGGCAGAGGGCCUUCUUUGUAGUGGCACCUGCCCUGUGGAACGCCCUCCCACCAGAUAUCAAGGAAAUAAACAACAAUCAUGACUUCCACUUGAGGCGCCAUGGAAGAUGGCUGAAAGUUCCAUCGCUCCGGCUCUCACAGGGUAAUUAGAGGCUGAGAUGGGAAUAAUCGGCCUCCCAAAAUCUUCCUGGGGGCUGCGGGAAGACACAGUCUCAUCCACAGAUGCCCAACAACCCAGCCCCAAAUUCAGAAGGAAGGAGAGGCUGGGGGGCACUGGAUUGAAAGCCCCCGAGGGAGUCUGGCUCUCCUGGACACUGUCUCUGCGAGCGAAUCAAGUUCCAUUUCUUAAGAUGAAAAAUUGGAUUUAAGUUUUGGACAUGCUUCAAGCGAGGACGGAGGAAUUACUCUGCUAAACAACCCAGCUACGGAGGUGCCAAAAAAGAUGAAUCGAAGAAGGACUAACAUCAAGUUGGUAUGUUUGAACGGAACGGAAAGGGGGGGGGAGCCUCUUUUAUUAUUGUAUUUUGCUUCAUUAUAUUACUUGGCAAAAACAAACAAACCAGAAGAACCAUUUACAAUAUCUAUAACAAGCGAGACUGGAAAGUUUGGUGUUCGUUUACAUAAUAUUGCUUUAAAAUUAUAAACUGUGUGGAAAUGAAAAUAUAUAAUUAAGUUUUUUGAUCUUUGAUUUGCUAGGAAGAGGAUAAAAGAUUCUCCAAUUUGUUGACAUCAGACAGAAGCAGGAUCUCAUUAGCCACUGGAGUCUUGUUAAAAAAAUCUUGGGACUGUUUCCUGGAAUCUUUGUCAGAGUAGUGUCGCAGUUACAAUUUGGAAAUCCACCAUACUGGAAGUUAAGACCGGGCUGCAGAAUUAUAAAUAGUCAUAGGGGGAGGUGAGCCUUUAAUAUGUCAUUAUAUUUGUAUUUCCAGAUUGAUUUGGUAAAUCUCCCCUGGAAAGGCUAUUGUUUGAUGUUUGAUUGUUAGAGUUUUGAGGAGAAAAAUAUGCAGAGGCAGAACAGGCUAGAGAGCCGGAACUGGGUCUCACUAAGAAGGGGAAGUGGUUCAUAAUGCCUUUUUUUCUAGAAAAUGUGGUGCUAGAACUCAUAAUGAACAGCUCCUGCGUUCUCUUAACAAUGGCAAUGGUGUCCACCCGAGAGGUGCUGGAACUGAGUUCCAGAUCAAAAGGAGGCCUAGUAGUUAGCACGGGCGGGGGGGGCUCCCACUUACCUACCACCUUCAGCUUAAUAUCUUGAGGGAUUGGGUCUUUUGCUGCUUGGUGUUGGAUGUGGCAUGAGAAGGUAACACCAUCGUCAGAGAUUUGCGGUAUGAAGUUCAGGACACUCUCUGCGUAGAAGAGGUAAUUGGACCUGGGCUGGGCAGGGGGCGAGUCAACUUUCAGAGUCUCACUGCCUCGCAGCCACUUCACAGAGACACGGUCAGGGUAAAAGUCGGAUGCUGCACACGUCAAGUUGCUUGGUUUUCCCAGCCGCACUUCUGUGGGGCCGAGUGUUGAGCGUGGGGGAACUGGAGGGAGAGAGGAGAGUUAGGAGUUCUAUACCAUUUUAAUAAAAAAAUUCUACUUAAUUCUUUAUAUUUUUCUAUUUUAAUAUUAUUUACAUUCUUCAUCAGUUCUUGGACCGUAUUUUGAUGGAUCAUACCUUUUUGCUCCCAUUUAAUCUGGAUCACCCUUAUCAUUCUUUCUUUGUCGCUUAUCAUCAAUUUAUAUAACAUCCAUGCUAUCCCUUUCUCCGUUAUUUGUCUUUUGUUCAGCACUGUAUCUAUUUUCAUUUCUGUCCUCAUCAUCUCCACUACUCUUUCCAUUUUUAUCUAUCUAUCUAUCUAUCUAUCUAUCUAUCUAUCUAUCUAUCUAUCUAUCUAUCUAUCUGUACAAGGGACCCAGGUGGCGCUGUGGUUAAACCACUGAGCCUAGGGCUUGCUGAUCAGAAGGUCGGCGGUUCGAAUCCCUGUGACGGGGUGAGCUCCCGUUGCUUGGUCCCAGCUCCUGCCAACCUAGCAGUUCGAAAGCACGUCAAAAUGCAAGUAGAUAAAUAGGAACCGCUACAGCGGGAAGGUAAACGGCAUUUCCAUGUGCUGCUCUGGUUCGCCAGAAGUGGCUUUGUCAUGCUGGCCACAUGACCUGGAAGCUAUACACCGGCUCCCUCGGCCAAUAAUGCAAGAUGAGCGCGCAAUCCCAGAGUCGGUCACGACUGGACCUAAUGGUCAGGGGUCCCUUUACCUUUACCUUUAUAUAAAUGUACUAGUUACAGGUAGGUAGCCGUGUUGGUCUGACACAGUCAAAACAAAAUCCUUCCAGUAGCACCUUAG